GGAUUAGAUACCCUGGUAGUCCACGCCGUAAACGAUGUCAACUAGCUGUCUGUGUUCUUGAAACGUGGGUAGCGUAGCUAACGCGCUAAGUUGACCGCCUGGGGAGUACGGCCGCAAGGUUAAAACUCAAAGGAAUUGACGGGGGCCCGCACAAGCGGUGGAGCAUGUGGUUUAAUUCGAUGCAACGCGAAGAACCUUACCAGCCCUUGACAUGUAGCGAACUUUCUAGAGAUAGAUUAGUGCCUUCGGGAACUCUGAGACAGGUGCUGCAUGGCUGUCGUCAGCUCGUGUCG
rnacentral:rRNA from 1 species